rnacentral:rRNA from 1 species
UACGUAGGGUGCAAGCGUUAAUCGGAAUUACUGGGCGUAAAGACGUGCGCAGGCGGUGAUGUAAGACAGAUGUGAAAUCCCCGGGCUCAACCUGGGAACUGCAUUUGUGACUGCAUCGCUGGAGUACGGCAGAGGGGGAUGGAAUUCCGGCGUGUAGCAGUGAAAUGCGUAGAUAUGCGGAGGAACACCGAUGGCGGAAGGGCAAC